rnacentral:misc_RNA from 1 species
AGCAAAGAGAGAAAACCACCACCCAAGUUCUGUUUUUGUCAGUCUCGAUUUUCACUACCGUCUACGUAGAUAGGCUCAAAAUUAAAUCAAAGCUAGGGAAAACAAGUUAAAUUUACAAAACAUGUUAAAAAACAGAUGAACAAAAAUUUGCAAAUUAAAUACAUUUUGCAUGUAAUGUAAGAAGUAUUAGUGCUACGUUACUAUAAUAGACGUGCAGGGCAGGUAGCUUACAUACAUAUGCACGUACGAAUACAGGAUUGCAGGUGUGUGGUGUACGGGAAGCUCGUGCAAGGUCACUCAAAUUGAAGCUGUGCAACGCUCUAAUAGGUCAAGUGUGACGUGUUUAGGGCUAUCACAAUUACAAAAUAAUUAAAAAGCCUGUCAUGUCAUGGGAGAGCAUUGCGUCCAAGGAUCUGCUUAGCAUUCCUCAAAGCCAAAAUCUAUCUGCAACUCACUUACUAGCGUCACCUGAUGGAUCGCGAUACUUGUUAGGAAACUCAAAUGAUUUAUGUCAGUUAGAUGAGAGCUAUUCGAGAGUUGCGGGCUAUGGCUCAAGCCCUGAUGCAGGUUCGCGUUCUCUCUGGACUGGCCAAGGAUUAUUACGUUCUGGUUCUGUAAUCAGCUGUUUUUUGGCUUGCCAACGAAGCCUUCGACAGUACAUUGCAAAACGAAAGAUUGAGCGCGGUCUUCGGCUUUAUGAGCAAAACAAUCAAACAGCUGCAGUACGCACCUGGCGUAGUGCAUUAAAAGGCACGUGUCGUCGCGAGGAUUGCUUCCAGCUAUUGGGUUAUUUGUAUCAGGCACAUAUGGAUUGGGGAAAGUUUCGUGAAGCUAUUGAGUUCGGUCAUCAACAGCUUGGCAUAUCAGAGGAACUCGACUCUCCAAACAUGCGUGCAGAGACGUAUCUAAACCUCAGUCGAGCACAUGCUAGUCUAGGUGGUCUCGAGCGAGCUUUGAGUUACGCUCGUCACUCGCUCUAUAACGAGUGCGGAACAAAAUGCCGCAGUGGACUGGUCCAUUUGACAGUGGCACGAGUUUACCUUGAAAUGGGCGGAUUUUCUAGAGCAUUGGAGGGCCUGCAGGGGGCUCAUAAGAUAGCUAUAGCCAUUGGCGAUCCUUCGUUGGAGUUGCAAGUAUACGUGGCACUCUCCGAACUUUUCGGCCGACUACAGGAUAAUAAUAAAAGUGCCACCUACGCAUCCAAAGCAUACGAUUUGUCGCGAUCCCUACAACUGGGGGACCUGAAUUCCUGUCAUCAUAGAGCCGCUUUGCUGCGCAUGGCAGCCUCCUUGCGAAAGCAGGGCGAGCUGGGGGAUGCGCAGGACUACUGUAAGGAGGCAACUAAACUGUCGCUUAUUUCCGGAGAUCAGGCCACAUACACAAGAAGUGUCCGUGUUAUGGGGGAUAUAUACCGAAAGAAAAUGGAUAUUGAUGUUUGUACAAAAAAUGUGCAUGGCCUAUAUGCAACUCAAUUUUCCCCUCUGUCUUUUGUACUUUUUUAUUUUGGAGAUUAUCGCGAACUAUAGAAAAUGUAGUUUCACACACAAAUAUUCAAGCAUAAUUCAUAUUAUUAAUAAUUUUGUAUAAUUUAUAAAAUACAAGUAUUAGGUUAACGCAUAUGUAAAAUCCAUAGAGUUCAUGCACAUCGAAAUCUAAGAGCAGCUCAAGUUUAUUUGCUUGUAUCAACUUAAAGCCAAAAAAUCUUUAGUAGUCAUCAGAUUCGAUUCAAAUUUACGAAUAGUAAAACCAUUUGUACUUAUUCCGCUCGGAAAGCUCGGAAACAAUAACAACCUGAUUUUUCCUACGAGUAUACACGUUCACGGGCGUUCCGACAAUAUGAGCAAGCAAUGGGUACAUCAGCAAGUUUAGGGGAUCGCAUGGCUCAAAUGGAGGCGAUGGACGGGGCUGCCCGG